AGAUAGAUAGAAAUUUAUAUUCCGUUUUGCACGAACAGAUUCUAGGUACAAUUAAAAGGAUUUCGACUAAUAAUUUUCAGUUUAUUAAGGUUAAGGAUGUAAAUACAAAUAAUAACUUUCUCAGACGAAGUUUCAUUGUUGGGAAAAUUCAGAAAUUCCAGCUUAGAAGUCACCUUGAGUAAAAGUUUUGGUUUGGCUAAAAUGACUGAAGAUAUGCACUUUUUAUCAGAUGAACUCGACGAUGAUAAGAGGAAAUUAUCAACGUUGUCGAUUUAUUCAAUUCUAAUGUACUAUUAGAGUUUAGGUUAUAUUUCUGCUAAGGUGACAACUGACAAAAAUGUGGCUUCAACAGUGAACUGCAAUAUAGAGAACUUUGUUUAUUCUUGUCUUAUACUAGCAUUGAAUCCAAAGUUUUAAAUUUAGUUUAAUCUCCAUUUUUAUCCUAAUUUACAUUGUGAGAUGAUCUCACAUUAACUUCUCGCACAAAAAGCUCUUCCGAAUCAGAAUCAAUAUAAAGGAUAUUUCGGCAAAAAAACAGCUGUAACUUGUGGUGUGAGUAUAUUGUCAGAAAUGAAGUAUAUCUACCCAAAGGUUUCUGAUCUGUGUUGAUUAUUCCGUAUCAAUGGUGAAAGAAUUAUAAAAUUUUCGCAAUUAAAGCAAGAAUUAUUUGAAGAUUUUUUUCAUAACAAGUUUGCUUAUUCAAAAAAUUGUCAUUUUUGUGUAACGUUAAAUUAUAUAAUGAUAAAAUGAAGUGAGAUCGAUUGAUAUUGAGUUCAUAAAAUGGUAUAAUUUAAUAAAUUAACCUAAUCAAAUAGAACCUAACAUUUACGUUGAUCCAUAUUACUGAUAAGAUCUUGGUAAUGAAAUGCUCCCUUCCAGCUGAUUUAUAUUUGGAGACUAUGACUGUUUAAGAACUUGUACCGAGUCAUAGCCAUGUAAUAAGAUUUUUUCCACCCUAUUAUAUCAAUGCAUAAAUGUGACCCUAAUAUAUCAGUGGUUAGGCUAGGAAUAUUUGGGGCUAGUUUACUGAAGAACCACGAAAAAACCCCUACUCCAGUUUUAUCCAUAAAUCAACACUUUGUCAUAGCAUUUUGUGGAGCAGGCCGGCGCUGAUGACGUAGUACUUGAAAUAAACAUCAUUAUUCUUGUACAAUUAAAUUUCAUUUAUUUUCAUUAAAAAAGAAUUUACUUUUUUUAAAUUUUCCAUCCCAUUGUAUAUAAAAAAGACAGUAUAAUUAUUAUAAAUUUUAUUGAAGAUAUAAAAAAAUAAUCACAUAUUUUUUGGAAAAGGCACUAGUUAACAGUAUUAAAUAUGUCUAUAAAUUCAUGUUACAUUGAAACUAAUAACAGUUUGAUCUUGGGAUUAAAAUAUUUUUAUAAAAUAAUUAUGUGGAGUAACUUUAAGUAAUAAGAAUUCUAAAAUUAUCCCUAGUUAACAUUUGAUUUGAUUAUUUUAGACUCUAUAACAUUAAACAAGUAGUUUUUGGAAAUAUGUAAUAAUAAAAUUUUAGUAUUAUUCACCAGAUGUAAAGAGAGAAACUCUGAGUGCAUUUCUUCAUCUCACACAAAUAAUUUUUGUUUAACUGUAAAUGUAACCUUUUUUUAAUUUCAAUUAUUGUUGAUCAUGUUUAAACGUCUGCAGUGUAUGAAAUGAAAUAAUUUGUUCAUAUCUUUAUUGAUACCAUGCUAUUAACCCUUUUAUAGCAAUUCAUUUAGUCUUGUUUUCAAAACGUUAAGCGGCAUGCACAAUUUUUAAAAUUUCUUGUAAAGAAAUUUUUUGUUCUAACUGUUCUAAGAUAAUAUCCCAAAGAGAUGGGAGAAAGGCGACUCAGUGGGAUGUGUAGGAGAACCACCAAUGUACCUGUACAGUUUCAAAUUAUAACAUUGAAAUAUA